CGGGGUGUGGCGCAGCUUGGUAGCGCGCUUCGUUCGGGACGAAGAGGGCGCAGGUUCAAAUCCUGUCACCCCGACCU
rnacentral:tRNA from 1 species